GUAUCAAACUGCCAACUAAUGGUUAUCUGAAUGUAUGAUAGCUAACCUGGCACAGAUUGGGUUUCUUGAGCUGAAGUUAGGUGAUGCUUUAAAAUCAUAUCCUGCUGGAAGAUCAUCUUCGAUAGGCACAAGCCAAGGAUUACCUCAGGGGGUGAAGUAAACUCAAACGAUUGAAGGUUGGACUGUGACAACUCUUGAAGGAACUGAGACUCUACAGUGGUUCCAUUAGGAACACUUGGCAGCAGGACAACCCCAGAAUUUGAUGCCUUGACACCACUUCGGUGAUGUGCGGCAACCAUUUCCGAGGGUGCCAGAGGCUCAGGUGCUCCAGAUAAGUUCGCUGGGGGCAGAUAGAGGCCAUUCCUCGUAGACAGCAUCUGAAAUGAGAAAUACAUAAAUGGGUGGUAAGCGAGCCUUGUAAUCCCGGCCUCCCGGGUGUGCAUACUCCAACGCUGGAUGUAACAACACUUCACUGCAUCUGUUACACCUCCUGAUUACCACGACUCUAAAACUAAGUAGACCAAUGUGAUUGAAACUGG